rnacentral:rRNA from 1 species
AAUAGAUACCCCGGUAGUCCACGCCCUAAACGAUGUCGACUAGGUGUUGGGGAAGGAGACUUCCUUAGUACCGCAGCUAACGCGUGAAGUCGACCGCCUGGGGAGUACGGUCGCAAGAUUAAAACUCAAAGGAAUUGACGGGGACCCGCACAAGCGGUGGAUGAUGUGGAUUAAUUCGAUGCAACGCGAAAAACCUUACCUACCCUUGACAUGUACGGAAGUCCGCUGAGAGGUGGAUGUGCCCGAAAGGGAGCCGUAACACAGGUGCUGCAUGGCUGUCGUCAGCUCGUGUCGUGAGAUGUUGGGUUAAGUCCCGCAACGAGCGCAACCCUUGCCAUUAGUUGCCACAUUCAGUUGGGCACUCUAAUGGGACUGCCGGUGACAAACCGGAGGAAGGUGGGGAUGACGUCAAGUCCUCAUGGCCCUUAUGGGUAGGGCCUCACACGUCAUACAAUGGCGCGUACAGAGGGUUGCCAACCCGCGAGGGGGAGCCAAUCCCAGAAAGCGCGUCGUAGUCCGGAUUGGAGUCUGCAACUCGACUCC